AGAAGCAUUUGCUUACUGAUAGCAGCAUGGAAUACUGAGCACAAGGAAGUCAGAUACAGAUGAAGAUACAUCUUCAUGGUCCUGAAUAUGACAACAAGAUGAAUUUAAGUCAAAUCCUGAUGCAAAGCUAAACCUGCCUGUAAAAUCUAUGGAGCAGCCAAAGGCAUCUCAUCAAGCGGUUGAGCCUGACCAGUGGAUCUGUGAAGCCCAUGUUACAAGGGACGGUUUUACCUGUGUUGUUCCUGAAACUAAUGCACUCUUCAUAGUUUACCAGCAGUGGUCUACUGGUGGCUCAGUACCCGGCUCCAGUGCAUCGUGCUUUGUGAUGCUCAUGGAUUUGUAAAGGUACAAAAGUUCCUGAUUUACAGUAAAAUCAAAUUGAGUGAACACUCAUAAAAAUAUGUAGGUCUAACACCUACACCUCAGUUUCUCUUUCAGUAAACAUGGAUAAUGACCUUUCCCUGGGACACAAGGGAAAUUUGUAAGCAAGAGUAUUUAAGGCUUAG
ensembl:lncRNA